UAGGGAAUCUUCGGCAAUGGACGAAAGUCUGACCGAGCAACGCCGCGUGAGUGAAGAAGGUUUUCGGAUCGUAAAACUCUGUUGUUAGAGAAGAACAAGGACGUUAGUAACUGAACGUCCCCUGACGGUAUCUAACCAGAAAGCCACGGCUAACUACGUGCCAGCAGCCGCGGUAAUACGUAGGUGGCAAGCGUUGUCCGGAUUUAUUGGGCGUAAAGCGAGCGCAGGCGGUUUCUUAAGUCUGAUGUGAAAGCCCCCGGCUCAACCGGGGAGGGUCAUUGGAAACUGGGAGACUUGAGUGCAGAAGAGGAGAGUGGAAUUCCAUGUGUAGCGGCGAAAUGCGUAGAUAUAUGGAGGAACACCAGUGGCGAAGGCGGCUCUCUGGUCUGUAACUGACGCUGAGGCUCGAAAGCGUGGGGAGCAAACAGG
rnacentral:rRNA from 2 species